GUUCACAACAGCAUUUACAGUUCCAGGAGGGAACGAUGAAACAGGGUUUCCUAUUUUCUUAGGUUAUGAUGCAUUCUUGGUAUUUAUAGUUUCAAAUGCAUUAUCACUCUUCUCUUCUAGCACUUCUGUACUAAUAUUCCUAGGAAUUCUCACAGCACGUUUUGCAGAAAUAGAUUUCCUCGAGUCCUUGCCUAAGAAAUUGAUUCUUGGCCUUUUCACUCUUUUCUUCUCUGUGGUAACCAUGAUGAUAGCCUUUGGUUCCACCCUUUUUAUUAUUCUGGAGAAAAAACUUUCUUGGAUCGCUAUUCCCGUCACUAUUCUUUCCAUAAUCCCUAUUGUUUUCUUUGUAUUCUACCAAUUUCCUCUCCUGAUUCAGAUGGUAAAGAACACACACAAACGUUCAAUCUUUGACAAA
rnacentral:misc_RNA from 1 species